rnacentral:rRNA from 1 species
AUUGAACGCUGGCGGCAGGCCUAAUACAUGCAAGUCGAACGAGUGGCGGACGGGCGAGCAAUGUCGGGGAAACUGCCUGAUGGAGGGGGAUAACGUCUGGAAAAGGUAGCUAAUACCGCAUAACACAAGAUGGGCCCAGAUGGGAUUAGCUGGUCGGUGGGGUAACGGCUCACCUAGGCGAAGAUCCCUAGCGGGUCUGAGAGGAUGACCGGCCACACUGGAACUGGGACACGGUCCAGACUCCUAAGGGAGGCAGCAGUGGGGAAUAUUGCGCAAUGGGCGCAAGCCUGAUGCAGCCAUGCCGCGUGUAUGAAGAGGGCCUUCGGGUUGUAAAGUACUUUCGGCGGGGAGGCGUUACCCGCAGAAGAAGCACCGGCUAACUCCGUGCCAGCAGCCGCGGUAAUUC